AGCGAACGCUGGCGGCAGGCCUAACACAUGCAAGUCGAACGAUCCUUCGGGAUAGUGGCGGACGGGUGAGUAACACGUGGGAACGUGCCCUUUGGUACGGAACAACUCAGGGAAACUUGAGCUAAUACCGUAUGAGCCCUUCGGGGGAAAGAUUUAUCGCCAUUGGAGCGGCCCGCGUCUGAUUAGCUAGUUGGUGAGGUAAAGGCUCACCAAGGCUACGAUCAGUAGCUGGUCUGAGAGGAUGAUCAGCCACAUUGGGACUGAGACACGGCCCAAACUCCUACGGGAGGCAGCAGUGGGGAAUCUUGCGCAAUGGGCGAAAGCCUGACGCAGCCAUGCCGCGUGAAUGAUGAAGGUCUUAGGAUUGUAAAAUUCUUUCACCGGGGACGAUAAUGACGGUACCCGGAGAAGAAGCCCCGGCUAACUUCGUGCCAGCCGCCGCAGUAACAC
rnacentral:rRNA from 1 species